GGAAGUAAAAGUCGUAACAAGGUUUCCGUAGGUGAACCUGCGGAAGGAUCAUUAAUAAAUUUUCUUAGGUUGAAAUUUGAAACCUAAAAAUAUAAUAAUCCUACCCUUUGUGAAUUUGUUGUUUGAAAAUAAUUUUUUAAAAAAAUUAUUUAUAGUUUUGUCUAUCCCUGAGUUGUAAGAGAAGUAAUUCUUGAAGACUUAGGAAUAGGCUUUAUCUAUAAAUAAUGAUUUUAAAGACCUUUUUAAAUUAAGCUUUUGUAUUCAUUUUCUAAAAUUUAUUUUAAUAAUUUAAAACAACUUUUGACAAUGGAUCUCUUGGUUCUCGCAACGAUGAAGAACGCAGCAAAAUGCGAUAAGUAAUGUGAAUUGCAGAAUGCGUGAAUCAUCAAAUCUUCGAACGCAUAUUGCACUUUUUUAGUUUACUAAAAAGUAUGUCUGUUUGAGUAUCAGUAAAUAUUCUCAUAAAAAUUAUUUUUUUUAUGUUUUGAGUGUUUACAACGGUACAAGUUGUUUCACUUUAAAUGACUUUAAAUUGCCUAUUAAUUUAGUCAAUUUUAAAAUUGCAUAAAUUUCCCGUAAAAAGGAAUAACUAUCAAUUUAAAAUUAACUGAUAUUAAAAGGCCUUGAUAAAGGAAAUUUAAUUAAAUAACUGAUCUCAAAUCAGAUAAGAGUACCCGCUGAACUUAAGCAUAUCAAUAAGCGGAGAAAAGAAACUAACAAGGAUUCCCCUAGUAACGGCGAGUGAAGCGGAAGAGCUCAAAUUUGAAAUCAUCAAGGCUUGACCUUGACGAAUUGUAGUUUAAGAAGUGUUUCGGUUAGAGAUGGUUAAAAGUUCUUUGAAUAGACAUCAUAGAGGUGAGAAUCCCGUAUUUGACCAUCCUUUCUAGCUUUGUGAUACACUUCAAAGAGUCGAUUGUUUGGGAAUGCAGUCCAAAAUGGUGGUAAAUUUCAUCUAAAGCUAAAUAUUGCGAGAGACCGAUAGCGACAAGUACCGUGAGGAAAGAUGAAAAGAACUUUGAAAAGAGAGUUAAACAGUACGUAAAUUGUCAAAGGGAAGCGUUUGACACCAGUGUUGUUUUCCGAAAAUCAAUAAAAUAAAUCAUGCCAGGUUGUAUUGACCUUAUCAGCUUGCAAUUUGGUUUGGUUUCUUUUUGACGCACUUUUCGGUUAACAGUCAACAUCAAUUUCCUUUGCUGUAAAAGGGCAGGAGGAAGGUGC
rnacentral:misc_RNA from 1 species